ACGAACGCUGGCGGCAUGCCUAACACAUGCAAGUCGAACGAUGCUUUCGGGCAUAGUGGCGCACGGGUGCGUAACGCGUGGGAAUCUGCCCUUGGGUUCGGAAUAACAGUGAGAAAUUGCUGCUAAUACCGGAUGAUGUCUUCGGACCAAAGAUUUAUCGCCCAGGGAUGAGCCCGCGUAGGAUUAGCUAGUUGGUGGGGUAAUGGCCUACCAAGGCGACGAUCCUUAGCUGGUCUGAGAGGAUGAUCAGCCACACUGGGACUGAGACACGGCCCAGACUCCUACGGGAGGCAGCAGUGGGGAAUAUUGGACAAUGGGCGCAAGCCUGAUCCAGCAAUGCCGCGUGAGUGAUGAAGGCCUUAGGGUUGUAAAGCUCUUUUACCUGGGAUGAUAAUGACAGUACCGGGAGAAUAAGCUCCGGCUAACUCCGUG
rnacentral:rRNA from 1 species